UACGAAGGGAGCGAGCGUUAUUCGGAAUUACUGGGCGUAAAGAGUGCGUAGGCGGUAAGCUAAGUCAGUUGUUAAAAUCCUCGGCUCAACUGAGGACUUGCGACUGAUACUGGCUUGCUAGAGUGCAGGAGGGAGAGGUGGAAUUAUCGGAGUAGCGGUAAAAUGCGUAGAUCUCGAUAGGAACAUCGAUAGCGAAGGCAGCUUCUUGGUCUGUGUCUGACGCUGAUGCACGAAAGCGUGGGGAGCAAAC
rnacentral:rRNA from 1 species